GUUAUAGGGUCAAGCGAACAAGUGCAUGCGGUGGAUGCCUUGGCGAUUACAGGCGAUGAAGGACGCGGUAGCCUGCGAAAAGCUUCGGGGAGCUGGCAAACGAGCUUUGAUCCGGAGAUGUCCGAAUGGGGAAACCCGGCCCGAAUGGGUCAUCCGUGACUGAAUACAUAGGUCACGGAAGCGAACGCGGCGAACUGAAACAUCUAAGUAGCUGCAGGAACAGAAAUCAACCGAGAUUCCCAAAGUAGUGGCGAACGAAAUGGGAAGAGCCUUGUACUCUUUAGCAGCAUUGUUAGCAGAACGGGAUGGAAAGCCCGGCCAUAGCAGGUGAUAGCCCUGUAUGCGAAAACAGCGUUGUGGAACUAGGUGUACGACAAGUAGGGCGGGACACGUGAAAUCCUGUCUGAAGAUGGGGGGACCAUCCUCCAAGGCUAAAUACUCGUAAUCGACCGAUAGUGAACCAGUACCGUGAGGGAAAGGCGAAAAGAACCCCGGGAGGGGAGUGAAAUAGAUCCUGAAACCGCAUGCAUACAAACAGUCGGAGCCUGGAAACGGGUGACGGCGUACCUUUUGUAUAAUGGGUCAGCGACUUACAUUCAGUGGCAAGCUUAACCGAUUAGGGAAGGCGUAGCGAAAGCGAGUCCGAACAGGGCGUUGAGUCGCUGGGUGUAGACCCGAAACCAGAUGAUCUAUCCAUGGCCAGGUUGAAGGUGCGGUAACACGUACUGGAGGACCGAACCCACUAACGUUGAAAAGUUAGGGGAUGAGCUGUGGAUAGGGGUGAAAGGCUAAACAAAUCUGGAAAUAGCUGGUUCUCUCCGAAAACUAUUUAGGUAGUGCCUCGUGUCUCACCUUCGGGGGUAGAGCACUGUCAUGGUUGGGGGGUCUAUUGCUGAUUCCCCCGCCAUAGCAAACUCCGAAUACCGAAGAGUGCAAUCACGGGAGACAGACAUCGGGUGCUAACGUCCGGUGUCAAGAGGGAAACAACCCAGACCGCCAGCUAAGGUCCCCAAAUAUAGCUAAGUGGGAAACGAAGUGGGAAGGCUAAAACAGUCAGGAGGUUGGCUUAGAAGCAGCCACCCUUUAAAGAAAGCGUAAUAGCUCACUGAUCGAGUCGUCCUGCGCGGAAGAUGUAACGGGGCUAAGCUAUAUACCGAAGCUGCGGACGCACGCAAGUGCGUGGUAGGAGAGCGUUCUGUAAGCCUGUGAAGGUGUCUUGUAAAGGAUGCUGGAGGUAUCAGAAGUGCGAAUGCUGACAUGAGUAGCGAUAAAGGGGGUGAAAGGCCCCCUCGCCGUAAGCCCAAGGUUUCCUACGCAACGUUCAUCGGCGUAGGGUGAGUCGGCCCCUAAGGCGAGGCAGAGAUGCGUAGCUGAUGGGAAGCAGGUUAAUAUUCCUGCACCGUCGUAUGAUGCGAUGGGGGGACGGAUCGCGGAAGGUUGUCCGGGUGUUGGAAGUCCCGGUCCCUGCAUUGGAGAAGGCGCUUAGGCAAAUCCGGGCGCGGAAUUCAAGGAUGUGGGGCGAGCGGCUUUAAGCUGCGAAGCAAUCGGAAGUGGUUCCAAGAAAAGCCUCUAAGCUUCAGUCAUACGAGACCGUACCGCAAACCGACACAGGUGGGCGAGAUGAGUAUUCUAAGGCGCUUGAGAGAACUCGGGAGAAGGAACUCGGCAAAUUGGUACCGUAACUUCGGGAUAAGGUACGCCCUUGUAGCUUGACUGGCCUGCGCCAGGAGGGUGAAGGGGUUGCAAUAAAAUGGUGGCUGCGACUGUUUAAUAAAAACACAGCACUCUGCAAACACGAAAGUGGACGUAUAGGGUGUGACGCCUGCCCGGUGCCGGAAGAUUAAAUGAUGGGGUGCAAGCUCUUGAUUGAAGUCCCGGUAAACGGCGGCCGUAACUAUAACGGUCCUAAGGUAGCGAAAUUCCUUGUCGGGUAAGUUCCGACCUGCACGAAUGGCGUAACGAUGGCCACACU
rnacentral:rRNA from 1 species